rnacentral:rRNA from 1 species
CCUACGGGUGGCAGCAGUAGGGAAUAUUGCGCAAUGGGGGAAACCCUGACGCAGCAACGCCGCGUGGAGGAUGACACUUUUCGGAGCGUAAACUCCUUUUGUUAGGGAAGAAUAAUGACGGUACCUAACGAAUAAGCACCGGCUAACUCCGUGCCAGCAGCCGCGGUAAUACGGAGGGUGCAAGCGUUACUCGGAAUCACUGGGCGUAAAGGACGCGUAGGCGGAUUAUCAAGUCUCUUGUGAAAUCUAGUGGCUUAACCACUAAACUGCUUGGGAAACUGAUAAUCUAGAGUAAGGGAGAGGCAGAUGGAAUUCUUGGUGUAGGGGUAAAAUCCGUAGAGAUCAAGAAGAAUACUUAUUGCGAAGGCGAUCUGCUAGAACUUAACUGACGCUAAUGCGUGAAAGCGUGGGGAGCAAACAGGAUUAGAUACCCCAGUAGUC